AUCCUUUGACUCACCCGGUGGCAUGUCACAGCACAGGACUUGUCCUUAGAACAUGUCUAGGCAACUGGACUGAUAUCUGUUUUGUUUCCUUUUCCUUCUACCCUGAAUGCCAAACUGGAGCAAAACAUGCUGAACAGAUUACUCCAAUAACAACAAGAUGGGUCAGGAACCAUGAACUAUGAACUGUUGCCAACUAAUCUAUCAUCCUGGUAUGAAAUGCUAUCAUUGGGUCUCCAACAUGGCAGGGUUAAGAAGAAAUUUCCUCCCAUCUCCCAUGGAGACGACAACCCAGAGCCUGACCAGGCUGACAGACAAGUAAUAAUCUAACAAAUGGCUAGAAAGGAGUGAAAACCAAAAGCAACUUCUCUGCAAAGCAACAGCCACAAAGAUAACAGAGACUGUGCUAUGAUCAAGUAGCUGCCAUAGUAUUCAG
rnacentral:lncRNA from 1 species